UACGGGGGGGGCAAGCGUUGUUCGGAAUUACUGGGCGUAAAGGGCUCGUAGGUGGCCAACUAAGUCAGACGUGAAAUCCCUCAGCUUAACUGGGGAACUGCGUCUGAUACUGGAUGGCUUGAGUUUGGGAGAGGGAUGCGGAAUUCCAGGUGUAGCGGUGAAAUGCGUAGAUAUCAGGAGGAACACCGGUGGUGUAGACGGCUUUCUGGACCGUAACUGACGCUGAGACACGAAAGCGUGGGUAGCAAACAGG
rnacentral:rRNA from 1 species